AUUGAACGCUGGCGGCAUGCCUUACACAUGCAAGUCGAACGGUAACAGGUCUUCGGAUGCUGACGAGUGGCGAAUGGGUGAGUAAUACAUCGGAACGUGCCUAGUAGUGGGGGAUAACUACUCGAAAGAGUGGCUAAUACCGCAUGAGAUCUACGGAUGAAAGCAGGGGAUCGCAAGACCUUGUGCUACUAGAGCGGCCGAUGGCAGAUUAGGUAGUUGGUGGGAUAAAAGCUUACAAAGCCGACGAUCUGUAGCUGGUCUGAGAGGACGAUCAGCCACACUGGGACUGAGACACGGCCCAGACUCCUACGGGAGGCAGCAGUGGGGAAUUUUGGACAAUGGGCGAAAGCCUGAUCCAGCAAUGCCGCGUGCAGGAUGAAGGCCUUCGGGUUGUAAACUGCUUUUGUACGGAACGAAAAGCCCCGGGUUAAUACCCUGGGGUCAUGACGGUACCGUAAGAAUAAGCACCGGCUAACUACGUGCCAGCAGCCGCCGUAA
rnacentral:rRNA from 1 species